AUGAAGGAGCAUAUAAAAAAGCAAUACCAGAUUAUUAAAGAUAUGAAUAACAAAGAAGGUUGUGUCAAUAAUGUAAUAGAAGAGGUUGGUGACCAUGAUGUCAACCAUUUACAAAUUCAACAAAAUUCAUCAUCACCACAAGACCUUGUUAUUGAUUCUAUGCUAGAGGUGAGGGAAACGAGGAAUAUUAUGGGUGAAUCUGUUUCAAGACUAAACCAGCCAGGGACAAGAACUGAACGCCCACACCCAACUUGCUCAAAAAGAAGGCGUACUUCUACCAUCAAGGAUGCUUCCAAAGUGGUUUUAAAGACUUCAACAUAUCCCAACAAGCAGAAUGUUGCGUAUGGUACUAUUCGGAGUAUUGAUCCAAGAACUAAGGCUGGUGGUAUUGAGUUAGGUGUUGAAUUUGCUCUUGUGCGCAUAGACGAACCUAUUCUUGAAAAUGAGGAGUUGGUAAGGGAAGUUUCUGAUUGCAAGACAAUUGACGAGGCUUUCACUUUAGGAUACUUAAUUACCUGGCCUUCAGCUUUUUUAAGCUACAAUCUUCCCUUCCACAUUCUCAAAUCAGAUUUGUGUACAUUUAAUCACACAUAUCUAAGGUGCAAUUUUCUUUUACAGAUUCGAGAGAAGGAUAGUUGA
rnacentral:rRNA from 1 species